CUCGUUUGAAUUGUUUUACAUUGUCAUUUCGGGGCCUUUUAUAGCUGACUAUGCGGUAUGGGCUUUGUUCAUUGUUAAAGGCCGUACGGUGACCUAUAGUUGUUAAUUUCUGUGUUAUUUUGGUCUCAUAAUAAGAGUUGUCUCAUUGACAAUCAUACCACAUCUUCUUUUUUAUAUAUUCCACAUGUUUGAAAUAAAAAUGAA
rnacentral:lncRNA from 1 species